rnacentral:rRNA from 1 species
GACGAACGCUGGCGGCGUGCUUAAUACAUGCAAGUCAACUGAACUUAGGAUAGCAAUAUUUUAAGGGAGGUGGCGCACGGGUGAGUAACACGUAGGUAAUCUGCCUUUAGGUCUGACAUAACCUACCGAAGGUAGGCUAAAAUCAGAUGAUGCAGCGGCUCGACAUCGAGACAGUUGUUAAAUCUUCGGAGCCUAAAGAUGAGCCUGCGUCUGAUUAGGUAGUUGGCGGUGUAAUGGACCACCAAGCCUGCGAUCAGUAGCUGGUCUGAGAGGAUGAUCAGCCACACUGGAACUGAGACACGGUCCAGACUCCUACGGGAGGCAGCAGUAAGGAUAUUGCUCAAUGGCCGAAAGGCUGAAGCAGCAACGCCGCGUGGAGGAUGAAAUACUUUGUAUGUAAACUCCUGUAAGAAGGGAAAAUGUUCCGAUUCAUCGGAAUUGAUUGUACCUUCAGAGUAAAGCCCCGGCUAACUACGUGCCAGCA